GACGAACGCUGGCGGCGUGCUUAACACAUGCAAGUCGAACGAUGAAGCCCAGCUUGCUGGGUGGAAGAGUGGCGAACGGGUGAGUAACACGUGAGUAACCUGCCCUGAACUCUGGGAUAAGCACUGGAAACGGUGUCUAAUACUGGAUACGACCUAUCACCGCAUGGUGUGUGGGUGGAAAGAUUUAUCGGUUCUGGAUGGACUCGCGGCCUAUCAGCUAGAUGGUGAGGUAAUGGCUCACCAUGGCGACGACGGGUAGCCGGCCCGAGAGGGUGACCGGCCACCAUGGGGCUGGGAAACGGGCCAGACCCCCUCCGGGGGGAAGAGGGGGGGAAAUUUCACAAUGGGGCGAAGCCCUAUGGAGGAACCCCCGGGGGGGGGAGGACGGCUUUGGGGUUGAAAACCUUUUUUAUUGGGAAAAAAGCGAAGUGACGGGAACCGGCAAAAAAGCCACCGGUAAACUACGG
rnacentral:rRNA from 1 species